UUUUUUUAGACAAUAGUAGAGUGAGAUAGGGGUCAAGGGGUGGUCGUAGGAAUAGGUAGGUGUACCCAGUAGAAGAGGUUAAUCGUCGGCCACCUACUUCUACAGUGGCGAUCGGUAGUGGCUUGAUUAAGGGUUCGGUAAGGCUUAGGUGAAGAGCUAAGUAAAGAAGGUUAAAGAGGAGCAACUCCAUGACGCCGUCAACUGGCACACACGCCUCACGCACCUGCGCAAACAGCGCAAGACCUCCUACACCUACGAGCUGCUGCAGCAGCUCAGACCGUCCCACCGGUACCCCUCCUCGUCCCUUUUGUGUUUUCGAUGUGACGAGUUGGAGAACCUACCAGCUACCGAUCUCCCGGCACCGACUCCACAACAGCGAACCGGAGCACCUCCUCGGAUAGUCCCUUUAGUGGCUUAGUGGGUGACUCCAACUAACAACCAAGACCUUGUACUCCAUGCCCUGUCUCCGACCGGAACGACGAUAACAGGAGGCACUCUACGAGCGGAGGAGUAACAACAACGAUAGUCUGAUGAUGGUUUA
rnacentral:rRNA from 1 species